rnacentral:rRNA from 1 species
AUUGAACGCUGGCGGCAGGCUUAACACAUGCAAGUCGAGCGGGGUGAUGGUGCUUGCACUAUCACUUAGCGGCGGACGGGUGAGUAAUGCUUAGGAAUCUGCCUAUUAGUGGGGGACAACAUCUCGAAAGGGAUGCUAAUACCGCAUACGUCCUACGGGAGAAAGCAGGGGAUCACUUGUGACCUUGCGCUAAUAGAUGAGCCUAAGUCGGAUUAGCUAGUUGGGGGGGUAAAGGCCUACCAAGGCGACGAUCUGUAGCGGGUCUGAGAGGAUGAUCCGCCACACUGGGACUGAGAAACGGCCCAGACUCCUACGGGAGGCAGCAGUGGGGAAUAUUGGACAAUGGGGGGAACCCUGAUCCAGCCAUGCCGCGUGUGUGAAGAAGGCCUUAUGGUUGUAAAGCACUUUAAGCGAGGAGGAGGCUCUUUUGGUUAAUACCCAAGAUGAGUGGACAUUACUCGCAGAAUAAGCACCGGCUAACUCUGUGCCAGCAGCCGCAGUAA